rnacentral:lncRNA from 1 species
ACUACUUUUUAUAAAUUGAUAGCCUCUAUCUCUAAUUUAAAGAAUUACAUUAAUUUUUUAGCAGAUACUAGAAUCCACACAAAUUGCAUUCAGGUCCGAGUGUGGCUCGACCAACCCUAGUGCAUCCAUGGAUAAGUUCAUAAUCAAUUAUUUUCUUAAACAACUUCUAGCAAUUAGGUUUUGUCUCAGGCAUCUCUUCAGCAAGCGUGUGGCACCUCCACUAAAAAUCCUGAUUAGAUCUAACCAUUAACAUGACUACACCAAGUAUAUCCAACAAAUGAAUAUCCAGAUCCGAGUGUAGCUCGACCAAUCUGAGCAU